rnacentral:lncRNA from 1 species
UUCUUUAAAGGGAAGGCAGGAGGCGGACAGCUUGGCUGUGACCCUUUAGCGCUGGGUCGCGUGUGGCCCACCCUCGGCCUGAGGCAUUGUUGGGUGGUUGGAGGUGGUUGUAGUAUUUGGAAAAGAACUUGUCCCUGAAGGGCUCAGGGGACUUGGUUUCUCAGCUCCUAAUAUGGAAAAUUAAGGCAUUUCUUACGAGAUGCAGAUUUUAAAGCAGGCAUAUCUACUCGACGGCUUUGGAUUACUGCACUGCACAAAUUCCAGUCUCUGUCGGUUUUGGCUGAGAAGAGCUGUGCUUCUCACCAGCUACUGGUGAGACAUUCGCCCUACAGGAAAGGGUCGGUAUGAUUGUGGACAUUGACAUGCGUAGCAAAAGAAAGUGGCUAAUUUGCGCCAAUAAUAAUAAAUUAGCUUGUAUUUGAAUUAGCCAAGUCUUUGCGGUUUUGCUAACUUGGCUUCACUUUGCAUGGAGUGGGAAGCGCCUGCUUCUGAAAAGGUGACUUUUUUCCUAAUUAGAAUGGACUCCUCUUAAGGCCAUGCAGUUUUCAAAGAAGAAAGACAAGCUGGACGUUUUGUUAGUAACAAAAUGUAGCUGAAGCAGAGAGAGAAGGCAGCAUACGUCAGCAUUUUCUUCUCUGCACUUACAAGAAAGAUCAAAGACUUUAAGACUUUCACUGUUUCUUCUACCGCUAUCUACUACGAGCUUCAAAGAGGAACCAGGAGUAUGGGAGGAGCAUGAAAGUGGACAAGGAACGUGACCAUUGAAGCACAGCACCACAGGGAGGGAUUUAGGCCCCAGGACUGCAGGCAGGCCUGGAUAAUAUCCAGCCUUCCACAAGAAGCUGGUGGAGCAGUGUUCCCUGACUCCUCCAAGGAAAGGAGACUCCCUUUCACGGUCUGCUAAGUAACGGGUGCCUUCCCAGACACUGGCGUUACCGCUUGACCAAGGAGCCCUCAAGCGGCCCUUACGCGGGCGUGACCGAAGGCUCACCUCUUGUCUUCUAGGUCACUUCUCACAAUGUCCCUUCAGCACCUGACCCUAUACCCGCUGGUUAUUCCUAGGUUAUAUUAGUAAUGCAACAAAGAGUAAUAUUAAAAGCUAAUGAUUAAUCAUGUUUAUAAUAAUGAUUGAUAAUUGUCCAUGAUCAUCUCUAUAUCUAAUUUGUAUUAUGACUAUUCUUAUUCUAACUAUUUUCUUUAUUAUACUGAAACAGUUUGUGCCUUCAGUCUCUUGCCUCGGCACCUAGGUAAUCCUCCACCCACAUCCUACUCUUGGACAACAGGAAAAUUAGAAAAGAUAAUGGAGAGCUUUUUCAGAAUGUUGAAUUUAGGAGUUGUGUGUGCUUUUGAUCUCCAUGUCAAUCCAUAAACAAUAAAUCCUGUUCUUAAAUUUG